rnacentral:rRNA from 1 species
CAGCCGCCACGGUAAUACGUAGGUGGCAAGCGUUGUCCGGAAUUAUUGGGCGUAAAGCGCGCGCAGGCGGAUAGGUCAGUCUGUCUUAAAAGUUCGGGGCUUAACCCCGUGAUGAGAUGGAAACUGCCAAUCUAGAGUAUCGGAGAGGAAGGUGGAAUUCCUAGUGUAGCGGUGAAAUGCGUAGAUAUUAGGAAGAACACCAGUGGCGAAGGCGACUUUCUGGACGAAAACUGACGCUGAGGCGCGAAGGCGUGGGUAGCAAACAGGAUUAGAUACCCGAGUAGUCCCUGUCUCUUAUACA